UUCCACGAGUUCCGUGCCGCAGCAAACGCAUUAAGUGCCCCGCCUGGGGAGUACGGCCGCAAGGCUAAAACUCAAAGAAAUUGACGGGGGCCCGCACAAGCGGCGGAGCAUGCGGAUUAAUUCGAUGCAACGCGAAGAACCUUACCAAGGCUUGACAUACACCGGAAAAGUGCAGAGAUGUGCUCCCCGCAAGGUCGGUGUACAGGUGGUGCAUGGUUGUCGUCAGCUCGUGUCGUGAGAUGUUGGGUUAAGUCCCGCAACGAGCGCAACCCUCGUCCCAUGUUGCCAGCGGGUUAUGCCGGGGACUCAUGGGAGACUGCCGGGGUCAACUCGGAGGAAGGUGGGGAUGACGUCAAAUCAUCAUGCCCCUUAUGUCUUGGGCUUCACGCAUGCUACAAUGGCCGGUACAAAGGGCUGCGAUACCGCGAGGUGGAGCGAAUCCCAAAAAGCCGGUCUCAGUUCGGAUUGGGGUCUGCAACUCGACCCCAUGAAGUCGGAGUCGCUAGUAAUCGCAGAUCAGCAACGCUGCGGUGAAUACGUUCCCGGGCCUUGUACACACCGCCCGUCAAGUCACGAAAGUCGGUAACACCCGAAGCCGG
rnacentral:rRNA from 1 species